GCUGUUCUUUCUGGCGUCCUCCAUGGUACCUGGGCUGACACACAGCUGGCAGCUCGGCCUUCCCUGUUGGUACAUGCACUGCCUUCACCUUUGUCAGCAGCAUCCAAAACCGUUGCUCUACUUUAUGAUGAUCUUAUGCCCAUUUUGAAGUGGGGGUUGUGAAAAUGAAGAACAAGACAAGUGGCCGCGUGUUGCUGGAGGAAAAUCCACCGCAUGGGUGUGUGGUGCAGAUGAUUUGGCAAGAGUCUUGGCUCAAACUUCCUGUUUGGGAAAUAAGGAGGAGGCACUGGUACGUGCUGUACAGGAAUGCAGCUUAAGCACGGAGAGUGACGUUGACGUCGUCAAGUGGUCCGCAUGUAAACAAACCUGCGACCUGCCUGCUUCACCACAGACGUCACCACUGCACGCCGUGUCUUCAGCGUUGAUGUUUUCUUUGUGGAAGCACUGGAAAAUAAAAUGACGCAUCUGA